rnacentral:rRNA from 1 species
GAUGAACGCUGGCGGCGUGCUUAAUACAUGCAAGUCGAACGAAUUGAAGAUGUGCUUGCACAUCUGAUGUUAGUGGCGAACGGGUGAGUAAUACAUAGGCAACUUGCCCCAAGGACUGGGAUAACACUUAGAAAUGAGUGCUAAUACCGGAUAGGUAAUACAAAGGCAUCUUAGUAUUAUUAAAGUUGGGUAUCCAACACCAUGGGAUGGGCUUAUGCUGUAUUAGCUAGUUGGUGAGAUAAAAGCCCACCAAGGCGAUGAUACAUAGCUGGUCUGAGAGGAUGAACAGCAACAUUGGGACUGAGACACGGCCCAGACUCCUAGGGGAGGCAGCAGUAAGGAAUUUUCGGCAAUGGAGGAAACUCUGACCGAGCAACGCCGCGUGAGUGAUGAAGGCCUUCGGGUUGUAAAGCUCUGUUGUAAAGGAAGAAUGUAUAGAAAAGGAAAUGUUUCUAUAGUGACGGUACUUUACUAGAAAGUCACGGCUUACUACGUGCCAGCCGCCGCGGUAAUAC